rnacentral:lncRNA from 1 species
AAGAGAAGUCAUCAUCAAGUGGAAGACCUGGAGGCAUGCCAGGUGGGUUCCCGGGUGGGAUGCCUGGUGGUUUCCCUGGAGGCAGCAUGCCUGGUGGUUUCCCUGGAGGCAUGCCUGGUGGUUUUCCUGGGGGCAUGCCUGGAGGGAUGCCUGGGAAUGUUGACUACAGCAAGAUAUUGAAUGUAAGUGGUCUUCUGUCCUCGGUAAACACUAUGUGAGUGGUGUGUAGCUCAGAUUACUGUCCAUGGUACACAGCAGAUAUGAAUUUUCAUCUGUCAACUUUUGGAAAAU